rnacentral:misc_RNA from 1 species
AUAUAUAUAUAUAUAUAGCUGUCAUGGAAACAAGCAGAAAUAUUGUUUAUCAUUAACUAGCAUUUCUCCACUUCCCAGUGAACUCAAUUCUGCACAAUAGAAAUGGCCUUCUGCAGAAAGUUCUUGAUUAUAUGCAAGAGUUUAAUGAUGUUUUAUGUAAUCAGAGAGAUUAAUAACUCUCUACAAUCAAAAUAAUAAAAUACAGGGCAAACUUCCAUUUUCUAUGACAUUUCUUUGAAUAUACACAAAACAAAUUUGGAUAUAAUUUCAUUUCAAUCACCACCCCAAGCAAGACAAAAGUUUUCUUGCUAUAGACUACCUGCCAAACAAACAUAUUUCAUACAAAUCUUGUACAAUCAUCUCUCUCACAUCCAAUAACUUUUGCUGUGUGUUCCUCAAGAAUUUUCAGAAUUCCAUUACCUUUUCGCCCACACUUGAGGAUGCUGCUGAUUCCCCAGGCACUAUCGUGUAGUUGAAGUAAUUAUAGUUGCUCAAAAUACUGAGAUUGAGACUCAUCCAUCCAUUUUCCUUGGCCUACCUAAUUAUUAUUAAAAAAAUAAAAACUUGCAGAGACCAAAAUGGCCCACGUAUAGAAGCUAUGACCUUUGUUAAAGGCAAGAAUAUCUGACCCUAUAAAUGGCUGAUAAGCACGUAAUGCCUACAAAUGUUAAUCACCACUAACACAAACAAAAAGUCUUAUCUCCUUUACUAAUUAGACCAAAUAGCAAGGGGUCCACAACACAGCCCCUAAGCACAAGCAAAGAUAAUUGUAGGAUUUGGUAUGAGACCAUUUCUUGUCCCCCACUAACAUAAACAAAAAGCCCUAUCCAGUUAUUCAUUAAUCAUUUCUUUCCCACUUCUUAACCAGACCAAUCAGAAUGGGGGCCAGUGACCCCAUGUCUAAUGAUCCAGGAUUAUUUCUUCUAAUAGUUAAGUUUAAGAUUUACUGAAGAGACACUACUUUGCCCAUCCCUUUCCACAAAAUAGAAAUAUCUUCACUCUAGCCACACAUCCAACCAUCUUUUCCAUAUAAAGAUAAUGCUAAUAUGGAAUGAAUGCAUUAUAAGAGCCUCGGUUUGAUUUGCUUCCAUACUUUCAUCUUCCUCUCCUAUUGUUCUUCAUUUUCCAUCAAACAAAGAGUCAAAGAUAACCCGAAAAUCCAAAGAUCAAAGAUCAUUAAAAAGCCGAAUAAGUUUAUGUUAUGCUAUUCGAAGUUUCGAAGUCAGAAUUGCUUUGCAUAAAACAUUUCUCUGCACAUGAUAACCCACAAGCCUCUUCUGUGUUUCUCCAGGAUCAUUUCUAAUUUACAUAUCAUAUUCUUACAACAUUGAAGCAAGUAACUUAGCACUACCCAGGCAAUCUACCAAGUACAGCUGGAUUACCAAAAAUGCUUUAACAAGGCAUAUUCUAACUAAGGCAUGCCUAGAGUUUGAAGAAACAAACAGAAGCAAGAGCCUGUCAGUCUACAAACCUACAUUUUUCAUUCUGCCAGUCAAGGUUUCAUCAGUUUACGAACCUGCACUUUUCAUUCUCCCAGUCAAAUCAAUGCAUGGAAGCUUUGGCUGCCAAUGACAUGCCUGAUCAGCCACAGCGUGACCAUGAACUGCCUUGCGUUUUUUCUUCAUCACAUCUACUUUUACAUGUUCAUUCAAUUUGCUUGGACAUGACUUUAAUGAGUCAUCCAUAUCAACCCUGGCAAACAAAGAGAACUCCUUGUCUAUUUGUGGCAUCUGAUUGUUGAAUUUAACCCCCUCUCCAGAACCAACAUCGUCAACAUCCUGAAGCUGCCUGUUUUGAGAAUUAAGCAAAGAUGCUGAAAGAGAGCCCAACCGUAAUGACAGAUCACACCCAACAUCAAGCUCCUCCAUGGAACUAUCCUUGAGAUCUGAUUGAUUGAUGUUAGCAGCAGCAUCCUCAUUACAGGAGAAGAGGCUUUGCCCAUCACUCACCUUGACGGGUUCUAAGGUGCUAGGAACUGAUUUAGAAAGAAUUCCUACACUUUGCUGGGGCUCUAGGCAACUUCCAUAGUACAAAGGAUAAACUGAGCACAAGCUUGACACAGGAUGAUUCUCCAUGGAUAAACAUUGGUUAUAGUUAGAUAGACAACCACUAUCAGUUGCAAAGAGAAAUUUAUUAGAAUUGACACUAACAUUCUGGCAAACAAGAUUUUGUAAUUCAGAGCCCAAAUGGGUUGAAUUCAUGAUUGUGGGUUUUAUGAAAUUCGAAUAAUUAGGUAUGCAUUGAGGGCUGGUCUUAUGAUUUGCUUGAAUAGUGCUAUUUACCAUGCCAGGAUAGAAAGUGUUGGGCUCUUGAUUGCCAGGACUAAGGUAACAUCUUGGAUGACUAUUUCGUUGGCUUCUGGAGGCUCUCCUUGGAGUGCAUCCCAAAUUAAGAGCAGCUUCAAUGCAAGGUUGAAGAAGCUCUCCAGUUUCAGUACUCUCAUCUCGUCGAAUGAUUGUAUUAAUGGCAUCAUUAGUUCUGUCCCAAAGUGUUUUAAGGUCCAUAUAUUCAGCCUAUGCAAGAAUCAGAAACUAAUGCAUAAGAUUUAUAGGAAAAACAGUAACUAAAUCCACUAGACUAUUGAAAGCUUAUUGUGGAACGCCCAGGAAAUGACUAAAUGCUUGAAGUUUGAACCUUUAAUUCACAAAUUCUUCAGACCCAAAGCAUAGAACUCCAAACUCAGCCUCAAUGACAAACAGUUGACUCUCAAAAUUUUAUUUUUUCCUUAAUCAUAAGCAAUAGACAACUACCAGAUGGGGGCAAGCAAAUGUCAAUUUAGAGAGAAUAUCUUACUAAGAGGACCAGAGAGACAGAAAUUUACCUCAGAAUUGGCUUUGGAAUAUAUAAUUUCUUCUGCUCUUAAAACAACAACAGGUAGCUUCUCUUGCCAUUCCUUGUUCUUCUUAGUUGCAGAGCUAUGAACCUCAUUGACCACUCUGAAAAUUUCUUGAAUGAGAGAACCUCUAAUGGGCUGAUGUCUAUCACUGUGCCAAGCUCUUCUAACACAUUCAUAAGGCCUGGGGCCUGGUCUAGGCAUCUUCACCAAAGAGUAGAGAGGGAGAAGAAAACAGAGACCUCUGUUUCUGGAAAAAGAGAAACAAGCACCGUGAGAAGUGGAAAAUAGCUUCUGCUUCUAAUUUUCCUUUUACCCUUUGCUUGGCUUCUGAAUCACACCCAAGUCCCACACUACUCAGCCGAUGACAAGUAAUGGCAAGAGCCAAGAGGUCACAAUAAUAUAAGUGGGAAGUGGAGAGAGAGAGAUGGGGUUUUUUCGAUUUGAUUUCUUUUUCUUUCUUUUCUGUAACGAACUCAAUUAUUCCGAAGGGUUUUAAUUGAUGA